rnacentral:rRNA from 1 species
AGAAAAGUCGUAACAAGGUUUCCGUAGGUGAACCUGCGGAAGGAU